rnacentral:rRNA from 1 species
GAUGAACGCUGACAGCAUGCUUCACACAUCAGCCAUUGAUUGGUGGCGGACGGGUGAGUAACGCGUAAAGAACUUGCCUCACAGCUAGGGACAACAUUUGGAAACGAAUACUAAUACCUAAUACUGUGCGAGCGCUUUGCAUCCCAUUAGCUAGUUGGAGAGGUAACGGCUCACCAAGGCGAUGAUGGGUAGCCGGCCUGGGAGGGUGAUCGGCCACAAGGGGACUGAGACACGGACCUUACUCCGACGGGAGGCAGCAGGUGGGAAUAUGGGACAAUGGAGCAAAGUCUGAUACAGCAAUUCUGUGUGCACGAUGAAGUUGUCGGAAUGUAAAGUGCGUGCAGUUGGGAAGCGGUACCAACAGAAGAAGGGACGGGUAAAUACGUGCCAGCAGCCGCGGUAAUUC